AGGCUGCUGACCUAGUGGAAAUCACUUGAGUUCAGAAACAGGAUCAGGUUGGAGAAGGUGAAUUGGGACUCCUCAAAGAAUGGAGACUCCAGAGAGCUCAGCAGCAGAAGGAAGGGUGGCUUUCUGAGCUUGGGGAGUACAGAGAAAUUCCUAGUGAGAGAGACACUGGUCAAAAGGAGCUGUUUCUACAGACUUCACAUUAUGGAGUAAAAUACUACACAGACAUUUAGCAAUACAGGCCAAGAAACCAAAGUUUUGAAGCUAAAUGUGGAAAGAGUGCCGUUUCGUUGUGAGGGACUGAAUCAAAGUCACUCCCACACUAGCUCUCUUAAAGUACGGAAAGUGCAGGAUUGUGCUGCUGGCUUUACUGACUAGGAAAUGCAGAUGCUUCAUUAUGAGACUUUGGACUGGAGGAUCACUGUGAACAUUGAAUGGCACCACCAUCUCAGAGCCAACAGAUGUCAGGGACAAACCUCAAAGAUUUCUUAGACAUGCACAUCAUCUGACUGGACUGUUGCAUGCCAAGCAGCCCAGACACCUGCUCAAGCUCAGUCAGCAUGUCUUCCAAAGCCCCAAGGCUUCCUUCAGCUGCCUGCUCCCUUCAAACGUGGCAGAGUUUCUCUUUGAAGCCGACUUUCUCACACUCUACCCUGCCACCAAGGUUACCCUCUCAUGUUCAGGAGACAAUUCACUGCCAUUGGCUGAGCUCUGUAAUAAUGGAACACUGUAGCACCUCUUUCUUCUUCCUCUACAAACGUCUAGAAGGUCAGUUCUGCUCUCAGUCUAGAUCUCAGAGGUAUCCCCCUACACACACAGACACACAUGCACACAUACACACACACACACACACACACACACACACACACACACACACACAGUCACACAUGCACACACAUACACACAUGCACACACACAUAGACACACAUGCACACACAAUACACACACAUGCACACACAUAUACACACAUACAUACGGACAUACACACAUACACACACGGUCACACAUGCACACACAUACACACAUGUACACACAUAUAUACACAUAUGCACACACAGACACACACACAAACACACACACUUGCACACACACAUAUACAUAUGUACAUGCACACAUAAACACACACCCACACCCACACACUUUUGCAUUCCCAAGGGGCUCUGACUCUGUGGAUAUCUAUUUUCUUGGUGUCUCUAGGACCUAUCACUGGUGGGGCCCUUCCCCCUUAUUCCUGCUCUCUUCCUAUUCAAUUGGUCCAGUCUUUGGGGCUCACUACAUUCUGGAGUUUCUGUAUCUCAUAAGCUCAUGGAUUACUGAAUGUAUCAGUUGAUUCUUAAGUGUUCACUUGUUACUUUGUAUGGUUUUCAGAAAGGAAGACAUUUGGACCUCAGCUGUGGCCAAGUUCCUUUUAAAAGUCAAUUCUGGAUUUUCAUGCUUUGAAAUAUACCUUGUGUAUAGAACAAAAUAGACUCAUUGUAAC
rnacentral:lncRNA from 1 species